UACGUAGGGUCCGAGCGUUGUCCGGAAUUACUGGGCGUAAAGAGCUCGUAGGUGGUUUGUCGCGUUGUUCGUGAAAACUCACAGCUCAACUGUGGGCGUGCGGGCGAUACGGGCAGACUUGAGUACUGCAGGGGAGACUGGAAUUCCUGGUGUAGCGGUGGAAUGCGCAGAUAUCAGGAGGAACACCGGUGGCGAAGGCGGGUCUCCGGGCAGUAACUGACGCUGAGGAGCGAAAGCGUGGGGAGCGAACAGG
rnacentral:rRNA from 1 species